rnacentral:rRNA from 1 species
GACGAACGCUGGCGGCGUGCUUAACACAUGCAAGUCGAACGGAAAGGCCCUGCUUUUGUGGGGUGCUCGAGUGGCGAACGGGUGAGUAACACGUGAGUAACCUGCCCUUGACUUUGGGAUAACUUCAGGAAACUGGGGCUAAUACCGUAUAGGAGCUCCUGCUGCAUGGUGGGGGUUGGAUAGUUUCGGCGGUUGGGGAUGGACUCGCGGCUUAUCAGCUUGUUGGUUGGGUAGUGGCUUACCAAGGCUUUGACGGGUAGCCGGCAUGAGAGGGUGACCGGGCACAAGGGGACUGAGAGACGGACCAGACUGCAACGGGAGGCAGCAGGGGGGAAUAUUGCACAAUGGGCGGAAGCCGGAGGAAGAAACGCCGCGGGCGGGAUGACGGCCUUCGGGGUGUAAACAGCUGUCGCCUGUGACGAAGCGGGAGUGACGGUAAUGGGUAAAGAAGCACCGGCUAACUACGUG